UACAGAGGGUGCGAGCGUUAAUCGGAAUUACUGGGCGUAAAGCGCGCGUAGGCGGCUUUGCAAGUCGGGUGUGAAAUCCCCAGGCUUAACCUGGGAACUGCAUUCGAGACUGCAUUGCUAGAGUAUGGGAGAGGGAAGUGGAAUUUCCGGUGUAGCGGUGAAAUGCGUAGAUAUCGGAAGGAACAUCAGUGGCGAAGGCAGCUCGCUGGAACGGUACUGACGCUGAGGCGCGAAAGCGUGGGGAGCGAACAGG
rnacentral:rRNA from 1 species